AUCUUUUUGCUGAAGGAAACCGACAGGCAUUUCAAGCAUGCUUUUCAAAAAUUUUAAUAGUGGAAGACAUAAGAUUAAACAAUUUAAUCUAAGAAACAUGCUUUAGAUCUAAUCUAAAAUGCCUACCAUAGGAUCUAUAACAUGUUAUAUUGCAUAUAUGAGAUUUGAAAAUAAAAAUAGCAUGUAAGAUCAUAUCUAAACAUGCACCAGU
rnacentral:lncRNA from 1 species